rnacentral:rRNA from 1 species
GAUGAACGCUGGCGGCGUGCUUAACACAUGCAAGUCGAACGAUGAUGCCCAGCUUGCUGGGUGGAUUAGUGGCGAACGGGUGAGUAACACGUGAGUAACCUGCCCUUGACUCUGGGAUAAGCCUGGGAAACUGGGUCUAAUACCGGAUACGACCAUCUGGCGCAUGUCAUGGUGGUGGAAAGCUUUUGUGGUUUUGGAUGGACUCGCGGCCUAUCAGCUUGUUGGUGGGGUAAUGGCCUACCAAGGCGACGACGGGUAGCCGGCCUGAGAGGGGGACCGGCCACACUGGGACUGAGACACGGCCCAGACUCCUACGGGAGGCAGCAGUGGGGAAUAUUGCACAAUGGGCGCAAGCCUGAUGCAGCGACGCCGCGUGAGGGAUGACGGCCUUCGGGUUGUAAACCUCUUUCAGUAGGGAAGAAGCGAAAGUGACGGUACCUGCAGAAGAAGCGCCGGCUAACUACGUG